GAUCCCUUAGUUGCCUGCAGCAUAUUCAUCCAACGAUCUUCCCCGCACAUCCUCUCCCCCCCCCCUGCCGGUGAGGGAUAUCCCGGCAACCACAAUCUGUGAGGCAGAUACAAAAUACUGAAGCCGUCUCACCUGCACCACCGGACCAGCACAGUUCAUCAUGGUGGACGCCACGUGCUGCUCCACGCUCAGCCCUUCGCUGCCAUAUCUUGCUGACAGGCUGGACCGCCUGCUCACAGAAUUCUGG